GGGGAUAUAGCUCAGUUGGUAGAGUGCCUGCCUUGCAUGCACAAGGCCCUGGGUUCAAUCCCCAGCACCCCCC
rnacentral:tRNA from 2 species